rnacentral:rRNA from 1 species
UGGGGGAUAUUGCACAAUGGGCGAAAGCCUGAUGCAGCGACGCCGCGUGGGGGAUGAAGGCCUUCGGGUUGUAAACUUCUUUUGCUCUGAACAAGGCAUGCUUUUGGGGUGUGUUGAGUGUAGGGGUUGAUUAGCGCCGUCUAACUACGUGCCAGCAUCCGCGGUAAUACGUAGGGCGCGAGCGUUGUCCGGAAUUAUUGGGCGUAAAGGGCUUGUAGGUGGCUGGUUGCGUCUGUCGUGAAAGCUCAUGGCUUAACUGUGGGUUUGCGGCGGGUACGGGCUGGCUUGAGUGCAGUAGGGGAGGCUGGAAUGCCUGGUGUAGCGGUGGAAUGCGCAGCUCUCAGGAGGAAUACCGGUGGCGAAGUCGGGUCUCUGGGCUGUUACUGACGCUGAGGAGCGAAAGCGUGGGGAGCGAACAGG